UUAAAAAUGGGGCGAGGAGGUUAAAAAUGGGGCGAGGAGGUUAAAAAUGGGGAGAAGAGGGUAAAAAGCGGGGCGAUGACGUCAAAAAAUGGGGUGACGAUGUCAAAAAUUGGGGGGGGGAGGGGGGUACCCGUAAACUCUGUUUUUGGGUUGAAUUCAGGGGGAUUUUGAUGCAGCCACUCGACGGCCGACGGGGACCCCGACGGCGACGGCCCCCGCUUGCAACGGGAGCGCGGCCGAGCUGGCGGCCGCCCUUCGCCGCGGCCUGUGCGAGGAGGAGGAGGAGGGGGGCGCGGGGAGGCCGAAGGCUCCCUGCGAGCUCUGCCCCCCCGGUUGGACCCCCCGAGCCGCCGCCUGCUACCGCCUUUCGGCGGCCGCCCGUACGUGGGACGCCGCCGCCCGCGACUGCGCCGCCCGCGCCGCCCGGCUGCUCGGCCCCCGCGACCUCCCGGCGGCGGCCUCGCUGGAGGGGGUGCUGGGGGAGCCGAACCCCCUGUGGGUCGGGCUGCGCUUUCGCCCCCGCGCCCGCGCCUGGCUCUGGCCCGACGGCUCCCAGCAGCCCCCGCCGCCCGGGCAGCGCGGGGGCCAGGGCCGGGAUUGCGGGGUGCUCCGACGGGGUCACUCGGCGCUGGAGAGCUGCGGGGCCGAGCUGCGCUGGCUCUGCCGCCGCGACGCCCUCCUGCUCUAACGCCUUUAUUUG